GGGCAGGUGUUUUCCACUUUGUUCACUGCUCAAUCCCCAGCACCUGGAACAAGGCUCAGCACACCUAGAUGGCCUGCAGACAGGGAGCAGGGGAUCAUCUACACAUAUAUGAUGGGAGGUGCCUGAGGAAGACUGAGAAAACAAUUCUCUCAUCAGAUCACCCUUGAAUGGCUCAAAACAGGCCAUGAAAUUUAACAACAGGAUGGUGAAAACCAAGUGCAUGGAACAGAUUCCAGUGGAUCCUCUGCUGAGGAAGAGGAGAAAGGAAAUCCAUGGGGAAGGAGUCCCUCAGUGGAUGGGGCUGCCGUCUGGAAGGUGGCGAGCUCUGCGAGGCCCAAAGUCACCCCUGCUCGGCCCGCUGGGUCUUCGAAGUCCCUUCAAUUGAGAUUCGCCUACCCUUUCACUUCCUCUCUCUUACUUUCCCUUCACUGAAAAUAAUGGACAAGUGAUUUAAAGCGGGGGAAGAGCCCCUCUGAACCAUCCCAACUAUAAUUUACCAAUUACUAAGUGGUUUGUUGUUGCAAUUGUUUCAUUUUUUUUAGUUAUUAUUAUCUUGUGGGUUUUUUUUUUUUCCUUUAGAAAGACAAGUUAGAAAAUGGCUGUGGGAUGUAGGAUUUCCAAAUAAGUGUGUUCCUCCAGGCUUUUUCUGUGUCAUUAGAGCUCUAAAGGUCUAAUGUGGCCUUUAAAAUUUCAGUAAAAAAAUAACCCUCUGCCACCUGAUUUUUGAGUUUAUACUGAAUUUUUGUCUUUCUUUUAAAGAUAUUCCCUCUUCAUGUCCCCUACCUUUUAAUUUAAUCAACUUAAGGAAAAAUAAAAGAA